rnacentral:lncRNA from 1 species
UCUAAGAGCAAAGACAGUCCCAUUACCUCAAGGUAGAAAUAACUCCAUGGUGUAAUUUGUGCCCAGAAUUUUUGUGGAAUUAUUCAGAAGCUAGUCUUCAUCUGAGACCAAAUUAUCACUUAAUUAUUUUACCCUGAUCUGUCUACUUUUCUCCUAUCUUUCCCCUGUAAGCACACCCUAACACAUAUCUCGUAUCUUUUCCCCUGUAAGCACACCCUAACACAAUUCUUUUUCAUGAAUACUCAUUGUAGCCUCUGUUUCAGGAAAGCAACUGAAGACAGACUGUUCUAAGAACUAAGAGAAUGAAUCUGGCUGACGUGUGGAGAGAAGAGAUGGACCAAGGGACAUGGAUGAAUCUGGAGAACGUCAUCCUCAGCAAACUGACACAAGAACAGAAAAUGAAACACCGCAUAUUCUCACUCAUAGGCGGGUGAUGAAAAAUGAGAACACAUGGACACAGAAAGGGG